rnacentral:rRNA from 1 species
AGCCUGAUCCAGCAUGCCGCGUGAGUGAUGAAGGUCUUCGGAUUGUAAAGCUCUUUCGAAGGGGAAGAUGAUGACGGUACCCGCAGAAGAAGCCCCGGCUAACUUCGUGCCAGCAGCCGCGGUAAUACGAAGGGGGCUAGCGUUGUUCGGAUUUACUGGGCGUAAAGCGUGCGUAGGCGGCUUGUCCAGUCAGAAGUGAAAGCCCGGGGCUCAACUCCGGAACUGCUUUUGAUACUGGCAGGCUUGAGUUCGGGAGAGGGUGGUGGAAUUCCCAGUGUAGAGUGAAAUUCGUAGAUAUUGGGAAGAACACCGGUGGCGAAGGCGGCUGCCUGGCCCGAAACUGACGCUGAGGCGCGAAAGCGUGGGGAGCAAACAGGAUUAGAUACCCUGGUAGUCCACGCCGUAAACGAUGAGUGCUAGACGUUGGGGCAUUUGCUGUCCCGUGGUCCAACCUAACGCGUUAAGCAUUCCCCCGGGGAAGUACGGCCCCAAGGUUAAAACUCAAAGGAAUUGACGGGG